UCCGUCGUCGGAACCCGCAAGGGGCCCAAGCGGGCCGGAAAGGCGAGCAUCAUGACUGGGGCG
rnacentral:rRNA from 1 species